CGUCGCCUCCCUGCUGCUGCCUGGAGCUGUUCCCCGGCGGCCCCGGAUCCUCCGACGCGUCCUGGGAGGGAGAGGCACCGAGACGACGAGGAGAAGGAGGAGGAGGAGGAAGAGGUGGCGGCGGUGGAGUAAACCGAGAGCUGGCCACUUGGCGUGCCUCUGGUGUUGCUAUAAGAAGGUCCUCCAGCACAGGUGAAUAUGCUGCCUUUUAGAGGCACCAAGACAUCGGCGGAGAUCUGCAACCCACAAGCCAUUUCUGCAGCUCAAGUCAAAGUUCCCAAGUGGAUACAACAUUUGGGGAGGAAAUGGGAAUGGAAGCAUGGAAGCGACUGCCUGUUCUGUCACAAAUGUGCAUUUUAUUCCAUGAAAGUACAUCUUGAGUACCAGCGUUGAACUCAUCCAGCUUUUCUUGGGAGCAUGCCACCAAUGGACAGGAUUAAUAUCACAAGGGCCCUGAUCAAAAAGUAAUGAGUCAGAUUGCACUCCUUUGGACAAGAGCUGAGGUGCCAGGGAGAUACAGAAUAAUGCCUUUCUGCACCAAGUCCAGAACUUCAUGUCAGGCAGGCACUGGAAACAGACACUGAAUCCCUAGAGAUGAUCAGUCUCAUAAUAAUCAGUUGUAAACUAUUUUAGCUGAAGUCUGAGCAUCUGGGAUAGUCAGGCCAGAAGUUCCAGAAAUCCAGUCAUAGGCACAGACUAAUCAUGAGAACUUUCAGUCUCAGCCUAAUUGGGGUUUUUUAGAUGUAAAUCAGUUUGUUUACAUUAGAACUUACUUCCUAGUUUGGGCAUAUAUUUGAAGUCAUUUGGUGAAGUCACCCCACUCAAUGGAGAAAUAGGCCUGAUAACUGCAUAAGGCCAAAGUUAGGAUUUUUGAUACAGUUCAUGUUAACACACCACGUGCUUUCAUUCUUUUACACCAGUGGUCCUCAACCUGGGGUCCCUAGAUGUUUUUGGCCUACAACUCCCAAAAAUCCCAGCCUGUUUACCAGCUGUUAGGAUUUCUGGUAGCUGAAGGCCAAAAACAUCUGGGGAUCCUAGAUUGAGAACCAUUGUUUUACACUGAGAGUUGUUAAAGUGAAAACAGAUUCCACAGAGGGUAAGGAUAUUUCUAUAGUAAAACCCUUUCUGUCCCUUUUCAUUGUUGAAUUCAUCCAACACAAAGAAUACAGAUCUCCCUGUGGGAAAUACUUGAGAAACAAGUAAUAGGACAAAGACAGCAUGGAAUUGGGUGGAAUGGAGGUAUAACAUUUUGCCAGAAAAAGAACAAAUAUAUAAGGCCAAAGUCUGGAUAGUACAAAAUGAAAGGGAGAAAGUUAUUGAGCUCUGGAGAGAGUGUAACACAAUACACCUUCCACAUGAAGGAAAAGGAAGAACCAGUGCUUUGGGACACCAAAGUACUAAAGGUUUGUAAAUUAUUUAUUUGCAAUUAUAAUAAUUAUAAAUAUAAACAUUAUAAUGAACAGGCUGUACCAGUUAGAGAAGGAAGCAGGCCACACUGGCACAUAGGGGGAAAAACAAGUCUGUACAAACUCAGAAGAUAAGGCACUAACUUACUGAUAGAUAGGACAGGGUAGAGAAGGGAAUACAAUUAAAAAAAACUGGCUUUGAUUCAGAGACCAGUUAAGCUAGAAAGUUUGAAAUACCAUACAAUUAAUCUUACUAUCCGGAUCUUUAGCUCAAACAAAGUAGCUUAAUUGAUUUCUGGAUCAAACUAUGCAUUAAUAGAGAUAUGUGUGUGUGUGUAUCAGAAACCAUGCUUGUUAAUACCUCAAAAGUAAAUAUGUUGUCUUAAAAAAGAAAAAUGAGCAUGCUGUCAUAUAUGCUUUAGGAAUUUGCUUAAAUAAGCAACAGGGAGAUAAUUUUUUCAUAACAUGCAAGAUAAAAAAUGCAGCAUUAUAAACUCUGAACAAAGAAAGAGUACAAAUUAGUAAAUGCUCAGAAAAACAAGUGUAUUAAAGAUGCACACCUUACUAUAACACCAGAAGAAAGCAUCAAAGGUAUACAGAGAAAUAUAGGCUGACAUCUACUGAAGUAAACACAAACGCCAUAGAGUGUGUGCAGAAAAUGGUAAUGGGGUGAAAUGCAUAAAAUAUUUAUAACAGUCAGCAAUGCACAGAAUAGAUUAUUGUGUUGGAAAUGAAGAGCAUGGUGCUGGAAAUACACCAGGGUUAUACAAUGAAGAUAUUUCAAGGAGUGCAACUGAAGGUGGAACAAGUUAACAUUCAGCUUGUCUUUGUAUAUAUGAACAGGCACAGGAGAUUAUUGGAGGUGAUUUCACUCGUGUACCUUCUUCAUUUACUGCUUCCAACAUCAAGUGUUAACUGACACAUGUAAAGGGUCAUUGCAAAUAAAGCAUAGAUUUUCAAACUACUUCAUAGUAUUUCAAGCACAAUUUAAGAGAUGUCAAAUGGUAAGCUAACAAGUGAUAAUUUGAGCAUGUGCUGGGAAUUGGAAGGUAUACGUUAACUGCCAAAACCCAAUUCUAGAAUUCUCCAAAUGAUGUUCUACAUAUGGGUUUGUGUGAUGAAGCAGAGAUCACAGAGAAACGCAAUAAAUUUUCCAGUGAUUAUAGGUUUGUGUGUACAGGAUGAUGGGUAUUAACCCUAGUCUUCGAAUCUCUAAAAAACUCCCCCAGUUAGUGAGCCCAUUCCAAGGUUACAUGUUUGAGGACUGCAACCUUAGAUAAUAAAUCUGAUUUCCUUCUUUUACCUAAUUCCUUGUGCUUUCAAACAUUUCAAAAUAUUUUAAGUCAAAUAUUUCAGAACAUUUUAGGAUUAUAAUUUUGCAAAAGGCUCCAAGUCACUUAAUGCUGCAUAUGUGCACUUAUGACUGUUCAGUUCUUGUGCUGUGGAUGAGUAACCCACAAACUAUUUGUUUCAAAAUAGUCUCAAAUAUUUUAGUGAGAUUUUAGAUAGAUUCUCAGAGAGCAACCUAAGAGAAUAUUUUACUACAUGAGUCUACAAAAUGUGGCCUUCCAGAUGUUUUUCAAAUGCAACUUCCAUUAUCUUGCACUAUUGGCUGUUAGUUAUAACUGACAUACAUUGCAGCUUGACAACAUCUGAAAAAUGGCAGCUUGGCCAUCUAUUUUGCAGUGCAAUCCGCAGUCUACUUUAAAUGGUAGGUUGUACUUAAACUAGAUGUAUCCCAAUUAAACUUGCAUUAUUCAAAGUAUAGAUAAAUAAAAAUGUGGGUUACACUAAAUAGAAGUCUAAAGGUAAAGGUUUUCCUCUGACAUUAAGUCCAGUUGUGGGAGUUGAUGCUCAUCUCCAUUUCUAAGCUGAAGAGCCGGCGUUGUUCGUAGAUACCUCCAAGGUCAUGUGGCCAGCAUAACUGCAUGGAGCGCUGUAACCUUCCCGCCAGAGCGGUACCUAAUGAUCUCCUAACAUUUGCAUGUUUUCAAACUGCUAGGUUGGCAGAAGCUGGGGCUAACAGUGGGUGCUCACUCUGCUCCCCGGAUUUGAACCUAUAACCUUUCGGUCUGCAUGUUCAGCAGCUCAGCGCUUUAACACGCUGUGCCACUGGGCCCCCCUAAAUAGAAAUUUAUUUAUUUUUAGCCCACCUUUAUCCCAAUAUAGGUACUCAAGGCAGCUUAAGCAUUUCAGUAAAAUAGAAGAUUACAUAUAACAUUUGUGCAUUUCAUUCAUAAUCUUAUUUUGCAUAUGGUCAUCUGAAUUGUCUGUAGUAUGUGAAAUAUGGAAAUGCAGUGGGCCCUUCACAUUCACUAGGGUUAGGGGCACAGGACCUCUGCAAAAGUGGGAAAACCGGGUAUUAAAAAACACCUUUUUAGGUUCUCCAGCAGGAGUCUAUGGUCAAGUUUUAUAGUCAACUUCUACAAGUAGUUGACCAUAGAGUCAUACUAGAGAACAUAAAAUGCUAGAGAAAUAUUCUCUCUAGUAAUCUUUAGUUCUCCCAUACAAUUCUGUCAUCAACGUCCAGCUGAAGCUGACCAUAUGGUUGCAUUGGGGAACCUAGAGAUUUCUAGAAAGAACUUAUUUGUCAAAUCUGUGAAUAAUCAAACACGCAAAGGCAGAGAGUCAACUGUACAUACUUUUAUACCCUGAAGAAACCUUUAGAAGUAUCCAGUUAUCUACAGAUAGUAGGAGCAAAAGUGUUAAAACACAUUCUAUCUUUCAAAAACAAUAAUUUUAGUAGGGAACAAUGAUUAAUACAUCAUAUAGUAAUGAAAAGAUUUUUAAAAAUGUUGUCUGAGUAACACUUGAAGGAUCCUUUCCUUAAUACCAUCACUGAGAAUAAAUUAAGAAUGUAAAUUGUUAAAAUAAUAACACUUGAAACAAAGAUUAUGUGCUGUCCUACAUGGAGAUAAGCAAACAUAAUUUAAAAGCAAUCCAAAUUAGUUCUCUAACAAUGCAUUUAUCUCAGUUAUCACAAACUGCUUCUCUGAAAUAUUUGAAAACUGGAAAUGCAAAUGCAAUAUUCUGGAAAGCAAAGAAACAAAUGUCAGAGAAUAUACUGCAUGAAUCAUGUAGUAAUAUAUAUGUAUUUAUUCAGUCACAAGUGUAUGACACAACCAACAUGUUUGGGAAUGCACAUACAUGUAUUAGGCUUGUAAGAUUAAAUCUACAUUCAUAUUAAUAUUAACUGCUAUAUUAAUAAUUAAAAAUGACUAAAACUCAGAUUGCCCCCAAUUUCAUGGUAAACUAAAAAAAAGUCUGGAAAUUUGGUGUGUUGAGAAAGGACAACACUAAGUAGGUCAAAGCUCUGCUAAUGUUAACUAGGAAAACAUUGGGCAGAUAUUGUAUGUGUUACAGCCAGCUUUACACAACUUAAGAGUCCUCCAGAUGUUUGGGAUACAAUUUUAAUCAGAUCCAGCCAUCAUAGCCAAUAAUGAGAGGUGACAGCAGUUGAAGAAGGCAGCUAUAGAUAUGACUGGAUGCGUUACCAGAUGCACCUGAAAUGUUACUGGGAAAUAUUCCAGAUAAUUCAUCCAGAAUAUCAAAACACCUAAGGUUGGAUUCAGACUAAUUUGGUUACAGUUAGCUCCUAUUGAAUCAAUGAGUUGGAUCCAAAUUUCAUCAGAGAAGAACCACAGCAAUCAAUGGGCUUCAGUUAAUAAUGUUAAGCUUGAUUUCAGCGCUAACACUCUGGAUCCAACACAAUAACUUAAUCUAUUUGAUCGUGAUCUCAGCAAAUAUGUAAUCAAAUUAUAGGGAAGUGCAAAUAUUCUCAUAAUGAGUAGUUAAAAGAGUGUCAGAAUGUGACUAUUAUAGAAAGAAAUCACUGACUAUCAAGGUCAGUAAAUACAGUAUACAAUAUAGUAAGUGUAAGAAUAAAGGCUGUAAAUGUAUCUUUUGCAGAGACUAUAGGCAAUUGAAAACUUGAAUGCUCACACAUUCUUUUGGGACAUUUUAAUUGGUCCUAAGCCCCAAAUAGGUUUUUUAAUUAUUAUUUUUUGUCAUAGAGCAGUACAACUAUGUUUGUCUGGAAAACACUGUUCAAAUGGGAAAAAGUUUAUUAGGUUAUAAUAACAUAUUAUUUUUAAAAAUGGAAAUGCCUGACAGUUAAAUGAACAAAUUCAAUACAAUUUACAAGGAGCUACUGUAUUUCCAUUUCAGAAAAAAGACAUUGCUUUUAUUAGUAUUUUAAUGAAAUGCUAUUCUAUGUAAAUAUAGUCAAUUGCAUAUAUAGUAUUUAAUUGAAGCUGAACUCUAUGUAUGUAUAUUACAUUCAAAUGUAUCUUUUGAAUAGAUACAUAUUUUGUGGACAAAUAAAAAUAAGACUGUUGCCAAUAGAAAAAUAUGUUUUAUUACCUUUAUAAGGAUUUCAUACAAGAUUAUUGUUUCAAUAAAGAUGUAUAUAUUGCCUCA